rnacentral:rRNA from 1 species
ACGGCUCAGUAACACGUGGACAACCUACCCUGAAGAGGGGGAUAACCCCGGGAAACUGGGGAUAAUACCCCAUAGAUUAUGGAUGCUGGAAUGCUCUGUAGUUGAAAGGUCCGCCGCUUCAGGAUGGGUCUGCGGCCGAUUAGGUUGUUGUUGGGGUAACGGCCCAACAAGCCUGUAAUCGGUACGGGUUGUGGGAGCAAGAGCCCGGAGAUGGAUUCUGAGACACGAAUCCAGGCCCUACGGGGCGCAGCAGGCGCGAAAACUUUACAAUGCGAGCAAUCGUGAUAAGGGAACUCCGAGUGCCUGUAAAAUCAGGCUGUCCGCCAGUGUAAAUAACUGGUGAAGAAAGGGCCGGGCAAGACCGGUGCCAGCCGCCGCGGUAAUACCGGCGGCUCGAGUGGUGGCCACUAUUACUGGGCUUAAAGCGUUCGUAGCUGGUCUGUUAAGUCUCUGGGGAAAUCUUCCGGCUUAACCGGAAGGCGUCUCAGGGAUACUGGCAGACUAGGGACCGGAAGAGGUGAGAGGUACUCCAGGGGUAGGAGUGAAAUCCUGUAAUCCUUGGGGGACCACCUGUGGCGAAGGCGUCUCACCAGGACGGCUCCGACAGUGAGGAACGAAAGCUGGGGGAGCAAACCGGAUUAGAUACCCGGGUAGUCCCAGCUGUAAACGAUGCACGUUAAGUGUAUCGGUGACCACGAGUCACCGAGGUGCCGAAGAGAAAUCGUGAAACGUGCCGCCUGGGAAGUACGGUCGCAAGGCUGAAACUUAAAGGAAUUGGCGGGGGAGCAC